AUACAGAGGGAGCGAGCGUUAAUCGGAUUUACUGGGCGUAAAGCGCGCGUAGGUGGUUGAUUAAGUCAAAUGUGAAAUCCCCGAGCUUAACUUGGGAAUUGCAUUCGAUACUGGUUAGCUAGAGUAUGGGAGAGGAUGGUAGAAUUCCAGGUGUAGCGGUGAAAUGCGUAGAGAUCUGGAGGAAUACCGAUGGCGAAGGCAGCCAUCUGGCCUAAUACUGACACUGAGGUGCGAAAGCAUGGGGAGCAAACAGAAUUAGAUACCCUGGUAGUCCAUGCCGUAAACGAUGUCUACUAGCCGUUGGGGGAUUUGAUCCUUUAGUGGCGCAGCUAACGCGAUAAGUAGACCGCCUGGGGAGUACGGUCGCAAGUCUAAAACCCCAAUGAAUUGACGGGG
rnacentral:rRNA from 1 species